AAUAAGAGAAAAUGAAGAGGUGCCCCGGACGGCAGCAGCCGUGCUCCGGGGAUAAUAGGGAAAGGGGUGUAAUUCCCCUGCGGUCCCGCCGCUGUAACGGACGAGCCGUAUCUUACAGAAACCGUAAUCCAUAAAUCCAUGAGGAUUUUGGUGUUACGCAACUCCACUGGGAAACCGGGAAGGAAAGAUACGGUAAGGACUCCGAAGCCAGAAGACCUGCCCUUCAUGAAGAAUGCAU
rnacentral:ncRNA from 2 species